rnacentral:tRNA from 1 species
GGGGUUGUAGGUCAGUGGUACAGUGCUUGCCUUGCAUGCAUGAGGCCCUGGGUUUGGUCCCCAGCACCACA